GUGUCUCAUCGGGUCUUGUUGCGUGACGUGGAAGGUUAGUUUAUCCCGCGGAGCACUGUUCGACCCCCUGUAUGCUACGACAAAGGGGGCUUUGAUUGGGAUAGCUUUGUGACCGACAGGUGGGUCCAGGAACUCUGUGGGCUCAAAUGUCAGGCAGGCGAUCUCAUCUGGGUUAGCCGCAGCGGGGUGUGUUUUCUUUUUAUACUUUUCUUUCUUUUUUUAGGAGCAUAUAAAAGGUUUCGUGCGGAGCGAAGCGUGGGAUAAUGCCGUGGUGGUGACGUGUCGCCGUCUGUUGUUUCUCUACCAUGCGUGCGAACACGUGCCGAUGUCUUGGAGCGGUCUCUGUUUGAGGUUAGGCCCGGCUCUUGCUAUGACAUCAUUCAUCAUCAUCAAUCAUUUUUCUCAAUUUCUAAUUUUUUUUAAACUCCUAAACCUUUGUGUUACAUAAUGGAUUUUCAUUAAUACGGCCUCUAUAUUCACGAAGGAUAUACACAACUAAAAAGAUACAAGAGCCCUUAGAUUCAAACCUCAUCAAAGAGAACAUUCAACCAAAAAGAAAAACCUAUGACCUCGGCACAUUCUUGCUUCCCGACAUCUUCUCCUGAAACAGUCAAAAUCGACGAGUGGAAGUUGUUUGGUCAUCACUGAUUGGUAAUAAAAACUUCCAAGAAUGUGCCACUCGUUCUUAAAUAAAACAUUGAUUAUGAGAAUUAGGGAGAUGCCAACUGAUUGGUGCAAACUUUGUGUGUGGAGAUGGUGCCUGUAAAAAGAUGGGGCUCACAAGCUAAAUUGAGAACCUUUCACAAGCUAAUUUGAGAACCUUUUCCUUUAGGAUAUCGUCUAAAUUGAGAACCUUUUCCUUUAGGAUAUCUUUAGGAUAUCGUCUAAAUUGAGAACCUUUUCCUUUAGGAUAUCGUGCUACAGAAUAUAUGUAUCACUUCUUUGUUUUGCUACAGAAGGUGGAGCAGUUUUUAUCUUCUUAGUUUUUGUUUAUAUGUAUUUAUAACAAUUAUUCUAUUCUAGAUCAAUUAUUUGUGUAGAUCAAUUAUUUACACCUCUUGCAUAGAAACCACCAAAUACAGCAUAUGGGAUUCUUUAUUGCCUCAUGAUUUUUGUUUAUCUAUGCCAACAUUUACAGACGCCCAAGCCCUCAAUGCUGGGCUCCGUGCAGACGUGAGCCGGCACAAUUGUCUGCUUCUCCAUGUGCUCCCCAGAUAGAUUGGGUAUCCACAUCAAGAAUAGUUUCUAACCAGUGAAGUCCUUAUUUACGGGAAAUUGUCAAGUAAUCUCUAUUGUACGUGUUCUUGAUCGAAGGAUAUAGUGGUGCAUGUGUAUUCAGUGGUAGUACUCUCAAACAAAAAUAUUGAGCAUUUGAUGUACAUCAGAAUUGUACUAAGAAGAACAAAAUUGUGUGCCAUAAUGAAUCCAAGAAUUUAAAUUUGAUUUAUUUGGAAAAAAAUUGCUUACAACAGUCUACGUAUAAAAUCUAAUUGUACUACCAUCAUUAUGGUUUUUUAAAUAAUAAAAAUGUUCUCCCUUGCAGUUUGGCAAGUUUAAUUUAAGCAAUUUGUCCAAUUUAAUUCAUAUACUGAUUUUUACGUGCAUUGCACGUGGACGAUUACUGGCAGGAAGAAAAGCCAGACCGGGCACCGAACCAGCCAAGCGCUUGGUUCAUCGGUCCAGUUGGACUUCUCAAGGUAUUUACAUUACUAGCUAUAUUUGUUUGUUUUACUUUGUUUGUUGUUCUGGGGGCUCAUUGUCAUCUCAAGUUCAUGCAGUUUUGUAACAUUGCUUUCUGGUCCCUGCGACAACGUGCGAGGACAAACUUGAUUUUUAUGUUUACUAGUGAGCGUGCACGUGCAAAGCACAUCUUGCACGUCGAUAUAUAUAUACUCUCUCAGGAAUUCAUCUUGGCUCUAGCUGCUGGGCGCGUGGCUCCAGCGACAAGUUGGAGGCGAUAGCAACGGUGAUUCACGACCCAUGGCGCAGCUCACCCUCUGCCUUUGAUCAUGAUCCAUCCUGUUCACAAAUAAUCGCACAAGUUAUAUAGCUACUAAUGCAAUGAACAAA